rnacentral:rRNA from 1 species
GAUGAACGCUGGCGGCGUGCUUAACACAUGCAAGUCGAACGGAAAGGCCCAAGCUUGCUUGGGUGCUCGAGUGGCGAACGGGUGAGUAACACGUGGGUGAUCUGUCCUGCACUUUGGGAUAAGCCUGGGAAACUGGGUCUAAUACCGGAUAGGACCAUCGUUUAGUGUCGGUGGUGGAAAGUUUUUCGGUGUGGGAUGAGCUCGCGGCCUAUCAGCUUGUUGGUGGGGUAAUGGCCUACCAAGGCGUCGACGGGUAGCCGGCCUGAGAGGGUGUACGGCCACAUUGGGACUGAGAUACGGCCCAGACUCCUACGGGAGGCAGCAGUGGGGAAUAUUGCACAAUGGGCGCAAGCCUGAUGCAGCGACGCCGCGUGGGGGAUGACGGCCUUCGGGUUGUAAACUCCUUUCGCCAAGGACGAAGCGUUUUGUGACGGUACUUGGAGAAGAAGCACCGGCUAACUACGUG